GUAGGGGGCAAGCGUUGUCCGGAUUUAUUGGGCGUAAAGAGCUCGUAGGUGGUUCGGUAAGUCGGAUGUGAAAUCUCCAGGCUCAACCUGGAGGGGUCAUUCGAUACUGCCGUGACUAGAGUUCGGUAGGGGAGUGUGGAAUUCCUGGUGGAGCGGUGGAAUGCGCAGAUAUCAGGAGGAACACCCGUAGCGAAGGCGGCACUCUGGGCCGAUACUGACACUGAGGAGCGAAAGCGUGGGGAGCGAACAGGAUUAGAUACCCUGGUAGUCCACGCCGUAAACGUUGGGCACUAGGUGUGGGGUUCUAUCGACGGAUUCCGUGCCGUAGCUAACGCAUUAAGUGCCCCGCCUGGGGAGUACGGCCGCAAGGCUA
rnacentral:rRNA from 1 species